ensembl:lncRNA
AGCCUUGGAAGUUGAAGCACACGAUUAUGGUAAGGGGCGUUACAUUUCCAACACACGCUUGAGGUUUUUGGCCAAUCACAACACAAUGGGUCAGCUGACCAAUCAAAGCGCUCUGGACUGUUCGGAAGGAGGGGCUUUGGAGAAACCGGAACUCAAUCAGAGCGUUUCAGACACACUGGGAAUAGAGGUACUGCAAUAACAUACAAACAACAUGAUUGCCGGCUGACGGGACAAAUUACUAUUGUUGGAGUCUACGAAGAAGAAAUGCAAAAUGAAGUUCCAGUUCUCCUCGUCGAGAUAUCUGCUGGAGAAUCUGGAAGCGAAGCCGAUUUCUUUUAAUUCUCUGCCCUAGAGAUGAACCUUCCCCUCUGAUUCAUGCUCAUGACCAUUAAAUCCUUUUCACAUUGUUAAAUUGUUAAACUCCUAGCCACAAAUCGUUCCUGCUUCUGUACAUGCA